GCACGAGGAUAUCUAGGCUUCACCUCAAUUCAAAAAGUCACAUCCGCCUUACGCGUAUUAUCAUACGGAAACACGUAUGACAUCAACGACGAGUAUUUGAAGAUGGCGGAGAAAACAACCCGAGAUACCUUGGAACAUUUUUGCUAUGGAAUAUGCCAGUUAUAUGGAAAACGUUAUUUGAGAAACCCCACUUGGAACGACCUUCAAAAAAUAUAUGAGGUGCAUCUAGAAAAGCAUGGAAUACCCGGCAUGAUUGGUAGCUUGGAUUGUCGUCAAUGGCGUUGGUAUAAUUGUCCAACCGCAUGGCGAGGUCAACAUACGCGGGGUGAUCAAAAAGGGCCAACUUUGGUAUUACAAGGUGUUGCGUCAUACGACCUUUGGGUUUGGUCGGCCUUCUUUGGUGUAGCCGGGUGUUUUAACGAUAUUAAUACGUUAGAGGCUUCACCAUUAAUCGAGGGCUACAUUUCUGGAACUAUACCAAAGGCCGGUUUCCAUGCAAACGGGAACGAUUACGAGCAUGGCUACUACUUGGGCGAUGGUAUCUACC
rnacentral:lncRNA from 1 species